ACUCCUACGGGAGGCAGCAGUGGGGAAUAUUGCACAAUGGGCGCAAGCCUGAUGCAGCCAUGCCGCGUGUAUGAAGAAGGCCUUCGGGUUGUAAAGUACUUUCAGCGGGGAGGAAGGCAAUACGGUUAAUAACCGUGUUGAUUGACGUUACCCGCAGAAGAAGCACCGGCUAACUCCGUGCCAGCAGCCGCGGUAAUACGGAGGGUGCAAGCGUUAAUCGGAAUUACUGGGCGUAAAGCGCACGCAGGCGGUCUGUCAAGUCGGAUGUGAAAUCCCCGGGCUCAACCUGGGAACUGCAUUCGAAACUGGCAGGCUUGAGUCUUGUAGAGGGGGGUAGAAUUCCAGGUGUAGCGGUGAAAUGCGUAGAGAUCUGGAGGAAUACCGGUGGCGAAGGCGGCCCCCUGGACAAAGACUGACGCUCAGGUGCGAAAGCGUGGGGAGCAAACAGGAUUAGAAACCCUUGUAGUCCCAUG
rnacentral:rRNA from 1 species